rnacentral:sRNA from 1 species
CAUUCGGUGUAGCUAGCCGGCCCCGGCCUUUACCCGGGCGGCGGCGGAUUCCGGCAUCGGUUCGUAGCGGGCAAACGAACGGGUGAAGGAUGCGGCCCCAUGCGCCAGCGAGCGCAAAUCGAUUGCGUAGCGGGUCAGCUCGACCUGA